GCGCCUGUAGCUCAGCAGCUAGGGCACCAGCCAUAUACACUGGAGUUAGCGGGUUCAAAUCCAGCCAGGGCCU
rfam:Otolemur garnettii contig013219, whole genome shotgun sequence.